rnacentral:rRNA from 1 species
GACGAACGCUGGCGGCGUGCUUAACACAUGCGAGUCGAACGGAAAGGCCCUGCUUUUGUGGGGUGCUCGAGUGGCGAACGGGGGAGUAACACGUGAGUAACCUGCCCUUGACUUUGGGAUAACUUCAGGAAACUGGGGCUAAUACCGGAUAGGAGCUCCUGCUGCAUGGUGGGGGUUGGAAAGUUUCGGCGGGUGGGGAUGGACUCGCGGCUUAUCAGCUUGUUGGUGGGGUAGUGGCUUACCAAGGCUUUGACGGGUAGCCGGCCUGAGAGGGUGACCGGCCACAUUGGGACUGAGAUACGGACCAGACUCCUACGGGAGGCAGCAGUGGGGAAUAUUGCACAAUGGGCGGAAGCCGGAUGCAGCAACGCCGCGUGCGGGAUGACGGCCUUCGGGUUGUAAACCGCUUUCGCCUGUGACGAAGCGUGAGUGACGGUAAUGGGUAAAGAAGCACCGGCUAACUACGUG